rnacentral:misc_RNA from 1 species
GAUGAAGAACGUAGCGAAAUGCGAUAAGUAAUGUGAAUUGCAGAAUUCAGUGAAUCAUCGAAUCUUUGAACGCACAUUGCGCCCCUUGGUAUUCCGAGGGGCAUGCCUGUUCGAGCGUCAUAUUUACCACUCCCGCUUGCGGGGUCUUGGGCUUCGCCUCCGGGCGGGCCUUAAAAUCAGUGGCGGUGCCGUCGGGCUCUACGCGUAGUAAAUUUUCUCGCGAUAGGGUCCCGGUGGAUGCUUGCCAACAACCCCCAACUUCUUAAGGUUGACCUCGGAUCAGGUAGGGAUACCCGCUGAACUUAAGCAUAUCAAUAAGCGGAGGA